AAUGUUGGACAAUGGGCGAAAGCCAGAUGCAGCAACGCCGCGUGAGUGAUGAAGGCCUGCGGGUCGUAAAGCACUCUGAUCCGGGAGGAUAAUGACAGUACCUGAAAGACAAGCCACGGCCAACUACGUGCCAGCAGCCGCGGUAAUACGUAGGUGGCGAGCGUUGUCCGGAAUUACUGGGCGUAAAGGAUGCGUAGGUGGAUACGUAAGUGGGAUGUGAAAUCCCCGGGCUCAACCCGGGAACUGCCUUCCAAACUGGGUAUCUAGAGUGCAGGAGAGGAAAGCGGAAUUCCUAGUGUAGCGGUGAAAUGCGUAGAUAUUAGGAGGAACACCAGUGGCGAAGGCGGCUUUCUGGACUGUAACUGACACUGAGGCAUGAAAGCGUGGGUAGCAAACAGG
rnacentral:rRNA from 1 species